CGUUGGCGGCACGCCCUAAUACAUGCAAGUCGAACGCGAUCUUCGGAUCGAGUGGCGACGGGUGAGUAAUACAUGAGAAUCUACCGAGAAGUGGGGAACAACUAUUGGAAACAGUAGCUAAUACCGCAUAAUCCACAUUGGGAAAGCUUUUGCGCUUUUCGAUGAGCCCAUGUCUGAUUAGCUAGUUGGUAAGGUAAAAGCUUACCAAGGCGACGAUCAGUAGCUGGUUUGAGAGGAUGAUCAGCCACACUGGGACUGAGACACGGCCCAGACUCCUACGGGAGGCAGCAGUAGGGAAUCUUGCGCAAUGGGCGAAAGCCUGACGCAGCGAUGCCGCGUGAGUGAUGACGGUUUUCGGACUGUAAAGCUCUUUUAUUAGGGAAGAUAAUGACGGUACCUAAAGAAAAAGUCCCGGCUAACUCCGUG
rnacentral:rRNA from 1 species